rfam:Hordeum vulgare subsp. vulgare, WGS project CAJW01000000 data, contig: morex_contig_1583573
CUUAUACUCUCUCCGUCCGAAAAUACCUGUCCGAAUAAUGAAUGUAUCUAGAUAUAUUUUAGUUCUAGAUACAUUCAUUUCUAUCCAUUUUUGUAACAAGUAAUUCGGGACGGAGGGAGUAUUUA